rnacentral:lncRNA from 1 species
AAGUCUUCUCUGUGUUAUGAGUAUCAGACCACAGCACAAAGUGUCAUCGUCGAAUCACCUCAAAACUUAGAGACUUGGAAAAGAUGAAUGCUUCUUCAGGGACACGUGGACUUCUGAUUUGCCGAUGUGAAUGUGUGAAAUCAGACAAAAGUCAUGAGGAAUUGUUAAACCAAUGGUUCCUACUAUACAACUUUUAAAGAUAAAUUAAGCUCCAAAUAUUUUUAUUUCAUUCAUUUUCUCCUUACUCAAUUCCUCUAACAAGACAGGUACACACUGGGCCCCGAGAAUACAGAGCUGUAAUGACAUAAACCUCAUUUACUAAAAACGUAUAUAUACCCUUCUUCCUGCCGAAAGGUGUCUGAAUGAUAGAACUCUCACCUUCGAGAAGUGGGAAAGAUUUACGAAGAUGCAGAGGAUAGAUACCCUGAGAGAGAUGCCAGAGCAUGUGGUGGCAGGGGACCACCUGACAUGGUGGGGGUGGGGGUGCCCCCCCGUGGGGGUGCCCCCCCCCCAAGAGGGAGUCCCUGGAGCCACAGAUAAACGACACAGAAGUCAUCAGCACAGUCGUGCCGAGUGUGUGUGCUUCAUGUUUUGCUCUGCAUGUCUCUUUGCUUGCUUGGUCCCAGGAGACCAGCACAGCUGUAAGCAGGCGGCAGGUGCUAGGCUCGGCCCCAGAGCCGCACUUCCAUCUGGCCAGCUGCAUGCCAGCAGAGACAGUCCUUGAAAAGAAGGUGCAGAGUUUGUACCUGCUGCUCCUUCAGCCUGUCUUCUACAUCUGAGACUGGUUCUUAUGCUGCCCCCGCCCCUCCAUCAGCGCAGCAGCGGCUAAGGCCCUCUGCACUUCUGACGACUGGCAGGUAUCCUGCUGCACCGCCCGCCUGGCCGGUGUGCGCCGCCCAUCAUGGCAGCUGCGUGGGUGAGCGCAGCAGAGGCGCGCAAACCUCGCAGUCACUGGUCCACCCUGCAGGCAAAGUCCUGGCUGGAGCAGCUGCCAUUUUCUUCCACGUUUCCCGUUGAUGGAUGGAAAGUAGAGGCUCUAACCCAAAGUGCCCACAAAAUUUUCCUACCCUCUGUGGCUUCUCUCCAGUGUGGCUACACAUUCUAGGGCUUUUCUGUUUUCUGAGUCCAUCAAUUCUGCCACUUUUUAACCUGGAUGAGUUUCUGUCCAUUGUAACCAAAGGGUCUUAACUGAAACAAAUACUCAAGGCCCAUGUUUCUUUUUAUCUGACCCUCCAUCCAGUGGCUUGCUUUUCCAAGGUUAAUUUCUGCUCCUGAAGUUUCAGUGAACUAAGUCUUGUAGAAGUCGUUUUCUGUGUGUGGUUCAGUUAGUUUUGAGCCACUGAAGGAAUGAGUGAAUGGAAGUAACCAGAGAGAACAAUCCCUCCUAAUUCCUCUGCCGCUCAUUUCAUCAAGGGACUUUGAUUUCCAGUUGGAAACCAGCAUGUCUCUUAUUCAUUCUGUAAGUGAAUAUGUAACCAGCAAGUGUUAUAUUCCAGGCAUGGUUUAUAGGCACUUGGAAUGUGAAGAUAAAUAAGACAUGGACCUUGUCCUCCAGGAGCUCACAGUUUAGUGGGAAGAGUGACAAAUGAGGCAGGGAUUACGAUACAGUCACUGUCAUUUAGGGUGAACUCUGGAUCUUGUGGAAACACAGGUGCAGCACCCGAUCAGCCUCUGGAAGAGAUCUGGGAGGUGGUCAAGAAAGGCUUCUUGGAGCUGACACCUGAAAUGUCUUGAAGGCUGCGUACACAUUAGGCAGAGAAAGAAGCUAUGAGGGUGUAUUGUGUACUUAAUCUAACAUACACAGAAAUAGGAAGGGAAAAGAGAGUCCAGUUCUUUCAGGCAGAAUUAUAAGCCUUUUAUAUCAAGGUGUUUUUGUUUUUGUUUUUGUUUUUGGCAACAGCCUGAGGUGGGAACUCUGUUCCCAGACCAGGGAUUGAUUGAACCUGGGCCACCUCAGUGAAAGCACAGAAUCCUAACCACUAGACUACCAGGAAACUCCCUAUAUCAAGUUUGUUCCCCAAAUCUGUUUUUCAGGAUGAAGAGAGUUGCCUCAUAUUCAGGUCUUUAAAACCCUUUUAUGUUAUAGGGCAUGCUUGCAAUUACUUUAUUUUGAACCACACAGCAUCAUUUAGGAAAGACAGUAUCCCAGAACCACCUGUGCCACUGCUGGUUCAUAUGCUUAGAGGGUCAUUUGACAAAGGAAGCAAAGAAAUUCAGUAGAGAUUUAAGUGUCGGGGGCGGGGGCUGGGGCAUGACUUCACAACUGCAAGUCUUGGAUAUCAUUGCAAAUAAGCUUUUUAAAGAUCACUUUAAAAUGAAAUACAAUUAGUGGUUACUUUGUGGAGAUCAUGAAUAAUGCUCACAGGAUGAACAGAAAAAUAAAACUGUUCUUAUUUUAAGAAAAUGGAUAUUUGUGGCUUGAGAUAAAAUUUCCAGUGAUAACAUCAUGUGCAGAUGAAAAAGAUAUUUCCAGUUUCGAGAUAGUAAAGGAAAGCCAUUUUCACUUUCUUCUCCUUUUGUCAAUUCCCCGAAAUAAUAAACUGAACAAGAAACAGAAAUUCAGACUUCACUACUGAUGGUGCUGGGAGAUGUGUAUAACCUUGACCGAGAAUUUUUGAAGACUGAAAAGUGGCAGAGGAAUCUUAAGAGAACAGGAAGGUCAAACCUAAAAACUCCCACUGUACAGGCAUCCACAGAACCCCUGAAAAGCUUGGAAGUAAAGGCAGGGGCCCACAGGAAAUGAUUGGGCAGAAUUGGGGUGUUAGAAGAAGGUCUGUCUAGGGAGCCAUCGCACCCAUUCCCCAUGGACAGGAAGCCAGGCCUCCGCCCCUCCCCCUCACAUGAAAUUGGAAGUUUGUUCUCCGGAGGACGUAAACCAGAGGACCUACAGGUUCAGAUCAGGCUCAGAGGAGGUGUGGGGGGGUGUAGUCUGUACACUUGACAGUGGACUCCAGCAGCUGGAUAUGACAGGGGCGGUGGGGGGGAGUGGGUGGAGGGUCCACCUCUAGAGAAGAUGGACUACCCCAGAGAAACCCUGGAGAUGCUGGCAUGGGGAGCCCCUAAUUUGGAGAAGACUAAUGCCCCCUUUUCACUGAGAGAACACCUCCAGUUUUGGGCAAGGAAAUGGGCAGACUACAUUUCCCAGGCUCCCCUGCCGUGAGGCAGGGCCAUUGACUACAUUCCAAGCCCUGGGAGCAUCCUCUACUUCACGCUCUAGAGAUAAACUUGCUUGGGGAGUUCCCUGGUGGUCUGGUGGUGGCUGGUGCUGGUGAGGCGGCCUCAGCCACUCAGCCACGUGUACAAGAACAGGACUCAGGGGCAGUGGAGCAGCAAAAGAGAAGGACCAGAAAGAGCAGCUUGUCCAGCACCACCCAUCAGCAAGAAAAAUGUGAACUUCUAACUUGUAUGAGCCACUGUGUUUGGGGACCUCUUCGUUGUAGCAGGUUAGCCUGUAACCUGACUAAUACACCUUAUAUAUUAAAACAACCAACCAACCAACCAAAACCCCUGGGCUUUUGCUCAAAUACUCUACAGUGUAGCCUACCAGUUCAUAUCAUAUGCUAACUUCAAAACAGCGUUUUCGUGUUUCAUUAUUAAAUAUGAAUGGACAACUAAGAAUCACUUGACAUUUGAUUAAAGCAUCCAGCAUGAAAGGUGGAAACCAGAGUGAAGAACUGGAAGAGGGAACGCAGAGGAAUCAGAAGCAGUGCAGGGAGCAGAAGAAAACUUCACAAGAAGGAGUUCCCGUCGUGGUUCAGUGGUUAAUAAAUCCGACUAGGAACCAUGAGGUUGCGGGUUCGAUCCCUGGCAUUGCUCAAUGGGUUAAGGAUCUGGCAUUGCCGUGAGCUGUGGUGUAGGUCACAGACGAGGCUCAGAUCCCAUGUUGCUGUGGCUCUGGCGUAGGCCAGAGGCUGUAGCUCUGAUUAGACCUCCAGCCUGGGAACCUCCAUAUGCCGAGGGUGCAGCCCUAG